GAAAUUUUCAUACGUUUUUCAUUGUUUAGGUACCAGCCUAAUGUAGUACAAACUUCUUAUUUUCACAGGAGUUUUCUAAAUGUAUAAUGCGUAUUUUGUCUUUUCCACACGUUUGUACUCGGUUAGGCUGACUGUAAACAAAGGCUUUGAAAGGAAUGCUCGU
rnacentral:precursor_RNA from 10 species